UACGUAGGGGGCAAGCGUUGUCCGGAUUUAUUGGGAGUAAAGAGCGAGUAGGCGGCCAGGGACGUCCGUUGUGAAAACUCGAGGCUCAACCUCGAGACGCCGAUGGAAACCCCCUGGCUAGAGUCCGGAAGAGGAGAAUGGAAUUCCUGGUGUAGCGGUGAAAUGCGCAGAUAUCAGGAAGAACACCCGUGGCUAAGGCGGUUCUCUAGUACGGUACUGACGCUGAGACGCGAAAGCGUGGGGAGCGAACAGG
rnacentral:rRNA from 1 species